CCUGAGAAACCCAAAAGAUCGAAUGGGGAGAUUCAUCGUCAGCUCAUUUUGUAUAUAUGCAAAUGGUGAUAUGGGUUACUACUUGUAGUAUUGCCUGUACAUUGUUGUAUAUUUAGUUGCAAAGUGGUGUCGGCGUGCACUUCUCCCCUAGUAGGACGUCGCGACCCGUUGAGUAUCUGUCUACGACCUAAGUGGAAGAUUUUUAUGAAUUUUAUUCAUUAAAAACUCUUAGUGUUUUCUGACUGGAACUCGUCGGUAUAAAUUUAUGAUAUUGAGCCGCAUUUAUAUGCGUCCAUAUCUGUCACAAGUGAGAUUAGUUACUGAUAGUGCGGACUCAGUGCCGUCAUUGGUACUAAUCAACUGUUGGUUGUACAGAAUUCUAGGACUGGCUCAUAAAAAUAUCUGUCAGCGAUGCUAUUGCUUUGGG
rnacentral:rRNA from 1 species